CCCCCCAAACCAAACCAAACCAAACAUUUCUCUCCAAACGGAAGCCCAUUUUGUACAUCUCUCCAAACAUUUCUCUCCAAAACCAAACGUAACCAUACAAUUGCUCACCGUCACACAACCAUCGCAACAGUUUCUCGCCGUCACCGUCGCUGUGUUCAUCGCCGUCACCGUCACUGAAAUCAUCAUCAUCACAGAGAUCAUCA
rnacentral:lncRNA from 1 species